ACUAUACUUGAACAGGAUCUGUUCUAUAGUGCGUACAUCUGAUCUGUGUUCUCCAACAUAGACAAGACCUUCACCCCGGACGAUGCUUCAGGGCUCUCCGGCCUGAGCGCGAUUGCCGCGGGUUGGUGUCCAGUGGCCCCCUCGCGGGGUCCGACCCCAGCCUGCCAGAUGAACGUCCCGCCCCCUCAUUCCCGGGAGCGGUGAUGGCCGGAGAGCGUUCUGACGGGCAACUCGACCACUCUCUCACACACACACACAGACCCUGACACACCACUCUCCCCCCUUCACUCUCCACCUUUUCUUCGCCUGCCAGACCCCGACACGGAGCUUUCACGUGGAACGAGUCUUUGUAGAUUACAUGUCAUAUUCGCACCUGGUUGCAACUCACCACAUUGUUUGUGUGGUUCUAACUCUCAACACUCCUUGAUUGACAAGACUUAUUGUAACUACGUUCUUCGACCGGUUGUGCCACACUUCAACUAUUGCUUCACAUGCUCAUUUCCAGUAUCAUUUCAUUCUGUUUGUGAACCUUGCGAUUGGUUUAUUGCUUGCAGUUUUGCACACCCAUCUUCAACCCAAAUCGUUAUCGAUUGAGUAUUCUUUAAAAGGCAACCACAGACUUUCCUCAAAAACGAUGAAACGUCGCCCCAGCGAACAUGGCACAACUGCCACUUCAGUCGACGCACUACGAUCCAGCGGAUUGCAAAUUAGCGCCGUUUUCUGAACUUUUUCUCGCUGCAUGAUCGCCGUUCUCAGAAGCGUAAGCUGAUCGGACUCCUACCGCCUCCCCCCCGCGUGGAUCAACGUCGGUGAGCCAACGGACUCUUCAAAAUGUUGGCACCUCACCCACUUCCAGAGCAGCCUCUCUUCUUCUGCUCUCGCGACCCUUGAUGCUGCACCCCGAAGUUUCUAGCAGUUCCUGAAAGUGGAGGAGACAACUGCACUUGGGAGCUGGAGUAGCGAGCAAGCGCCUUUGUCAAGUAAAUCAAAUAAGGACGACAAAAGCAGCAGAGGAAAAGGCCAUGGACUUGUGCAGGUUCUGUGUCGAACAAAAGAGACGAGCGAGGAGCUUGGGAAGGAGCUCAUGCAGCAUGCAUUGAUCGAGGGCUACAAUGUAAGCAUUGUGCACGAAAUUUAACAGGUUUCGGGGGUUAGCGAUGGAGGAAGUGGUUCAAACUCGGAUAACACGGAUCGUGUUGAGGCAUGGUGGAUGAAGUCCCUCUAUCGGAUGUAGAAUUUCUUACUCUACUUACAAAGGUUAGAACACAUUGCUUAUGAAAGACUUAGUUGUGCGCGUGAUAAGUCUUUUUAAUAGAAUGAUAUUCUUGCAAAGUAUACAUGGCUCGAUGUUCUUGUA